AGAACGAACGCUGGCGGCAUGCCUAACACAUGCAAGUCGAACGCUCUUGGGGCUUCGGUUCCAAGGGAGUGGCGCACGGGUGAGUAGCGCGUGGGAACCUGCCCUGGAGUGGGGGAUAACCGAGGGAAACUUCGGCUAAUACCGCAUGCGCCCGGGAAACCGGGGAAAGAUUUAUCGCUCUAGGAGGGGCCCGCGUCGGAUUAGCUAGUUGGUGGGGUAACGGCCUACCAAGGCUUUGAUCCGUAGCUGGUCUGAGAGGAUGAUCAGCCACACUGGGACUGAGACACGGCCCAGACUCCUACGGGAGGCAGCAGUGGGGAAUAUUGGACAAUGGGCGCAAGCCUGAUCCAGCAAUGCCGCGUGAGUGAUGAAGGCCUUCGGGUGUAAAGCUCUUUCGCACGCGAGGAUGAUGACGCUAGCGUGAGAAGAAGCCCCGGCUAACUUCGUGCCAGCAGCCGC
rnacentral:rRNA from 1 species